GGCUCCAUGGAGCAGUGGUUAGCAUGUCUGCUUUACAUGCAGAAGGUCCUGGGUUUGCACCCCAGGUGGAGUCA
rfam:Pteropus alecto contig69649, whole genome shotgun sequence.